CAGCAGCCACGGUAAAACGGAGGGUGCAAGCGUCACUCGGAAUCACUGGGCGUAAAGGACGCGUAGGCGGAUUAUCAAGUCUCUUGUGAAAUCUAACGGCUUAACCGUUAAACUGCUUGGGAAACUGAUAAUCUAGAGUAAGGGAGAGGCAGAUGGAAUUCUUGGUGUAGGGGUAAAAUCCGUAGAUAUCAAGAAGAAUACCUAUUGCGAAGGCGAUCUGCUGGAACUUAACUGACGCUAAUGCGUGAAAGCGUGGGGAGCAAACAGGAUUAGAGACCCCCGUAGUCCCUGUCUCUUAUAC
rnacentral:rRNA from 1 species